AAACAACUUUUAACGCCGUCACACACUUGCUAACUACUUCUGUUACUCAGAUGGUUUUACAGUUUGACUAUGAGGAAAACACGCAGCUUUCUGUCGAUAGAAGAAAAUUGCUUAAACAGGUGUGAUGGGUUCUUUGUUAAUCAUGGAAUUGUGGUUGAACAGUAAGUAAGUUAAGGCUUUGGGAAGAUGUCGCUAUCUAUCGCAUUGCAGCUUCGUGCUCUUCGUGUUGUGCUCGUCGUGUGGGUGUUCUCGUGUUGGUCCCCUUUGCCGCAUUGUAGUACUUCUCCUAAUUUCUCUCUUCGCUUAUACCAGUAAUUACUUUAGUGAGGGCGAGACUGUGGGUUAGUUCACUGCGAUAUUUCGCCCCUACAUUUUUCCUCUUCUCGCGUUAUUCUUCUGCAAGUGGAAUAAUGCGAGAAUUCUUGGUAAAUCUUCUUUAUUCAAUGUAUCUCCGUGAUUUACGCAUAUUUAUUACACGUGUUGUCAACUUCCUUCUUUUCCGGCGGUGCGUCUUUAUUGCUUUCCCUAUAUAAAUACCAGAAGUGGUGAGGAACAUUUUUUCAUAUUUCUCUUUCUCUUUAGCUUUUAGGGUUUUAUGUGCUCUUCAAACUUCAUGUUUUUUUAUGAUAGAUUGUAGUAUGCUUCUUCCUGCUGCUGUUGUAUCACUUUUCCGGUAAAUCAUUGCCUCAGCCCUCCAUGCUUUGUAAUUUUCUCUUGCCUUAUGAAAUUCCUUAUCUCAUUUUGAUGCUUUUCUUCUUUUGCAGGUCUAGAUCUUGUUUUCAUCAUGACUGGGGGCCUUUUGCAGAUGCGCUUUCAUUCUUUGAGCAUGAUGGUAUUUCCUCUCAGCUGUAAAAUCCCCAAUUUCAUCCUCGGGUCACUAUUUGGAAAGAGUUGUUUACCGAGCUUGUCAGUAGGAUCGCUCUUCGGAAAGGGCUAUCCACCGAUCUUGUUGGAAGGAUCUACUUCACUAUGGUUCUCGCCCUGAGCUUGGAGUCAUCUCUGGUCACUCUUCGGAAUAGUUGAACCGUCGGGUCUUUUUGGAGGACUUAUUUUGUUGCUCACGUCUUAGUUUGGAGUCGCCUUGUGGCGCUGAUCCUAAUUACUCCGGUGAUACUGAUCCCAGUUGCUCCAGCGGGUUUGAUGUGCGGCUGGUGAUGUGACUUCGCGUAUGGAGAUCUUAAUCGCGUGUUUUUACGUGUCUUUGUUUAUAUUUUGCGGUUGCUUUCUGUAUUCUAACCUUAUAAACGAGCAUGCAUCUGAAUAAUCUAAAUGAUAAAUUAAUAUUUUGAUUGAAUUUUUAA